rnacentral:rRNA from 1 species
CAGUCGAACGGAGAUUAUACGCAGAGGCGAUUUCGGUCAAAUCAUGUAAAAUCUUAUUGGCGGACGGGUGAGUAACGCGUGGGUAACCUGCCUUACACUGGGGGAUAACACUUAGAAAUAGGUGCUAAUACCGCAUAAGCGCACGAAGCCGCAUGGAUUUGUGUGAAAAACUCCGGUGGUGUAAGAUGGACCCGCGUCUGAUUAGCUUGUUGGCGGGGUAACGGCCCACCAAGGCGACGAUCAGUAGCCGGCCUGAGAGGGUGGACGGCCACAUUGGGACUGAGACACGGCCCAAACUCCUACGGGAGGCAGCAGUGGGGGAUAUUGGACAAUGGGGGGAACCCUGAUCCAGCGACGCCGCGUGAGUGAAGAAGUAUUUCGGUAUGUAAAGCUCUGUCAGCAGGGAAGAAAGAAAUGACGGUACCUGACCAAGAAGCCCCGGCUAACUACGUGCCAGCAGCCGCGGUAAUACGUAGGGGGCAAGCGUUAUCCGGAAUUACUGGGUGUAAAGGGAGCGUAGACGGUUAAGUAAGUCUGGAGUGAAAGGCCGGGGCCCAACCCCGGGACUGCUCUGGAAACUAUUCAACUUGAGUGCAGGAGAGGUAAGCGGAAUUCCUAGUGUAGCGGUGAAAUGCGUAGAUAUUAGGAGGAACACCAGUGGCGAAGGCGGCUUACUGGACUGUAACUGACGUUGAGGCUCGAAAGCGUGGGGAGCAAA